rnacentral:rRNA from 1 species
AUUGAACGCUGGCGGCAUGCUUUACACAUGCAAGUCGGACGGCAGCACAGAGAAGCUUGCUUCUUGGGUGGCGAGUGGCGAACGGGUGAGUAACAUAUCGGAACGUACCGAGCAGUGGGGGAUAACUAAUCGAAAGAUUAGCUAAUACCGCAUAUCUUCUGAGGAAGAAAGCAGGUGACCAUUUGGCCUUGCGCUGUUUGAGCGGCCGAUAUCUGAUUAGCUAGUUGGGGGGGUAAAGGCCUACCAAGGCGACGAUCAGUAGCGGGUCUGAGAGGAUGAUCCGCCACACUGGGACUGAGACACGGCCCAGACUCCUACGGGAGGCAGCAGUGGGGAAUUUUGGACAAUGGGCGAAAGCCUGAUCCAGCCAUGCCGCGUGUAUGAAGAAGGCCUUCGGGUUGUAAAGGACUUUUGUCAGGGAAGAAAAGGGCGGGGUUAAUACCCCUGUCUGAUGACGGUACCUGAAGAAUAAGCACCGGCUAACUACGUG